rnacentral:rRNA from 1 species
AGAAGGGGGACAAAGGAGAGCGCGGAAGAUCUCUUGGCCCGUCUGAACCUGCAGAAAGAAGAGGACCACGACUUCGCCUGGGAAGAGGAGCUGUCAGAUCUAAUGACGCCGGCCAAGUGGCUGGCCAUAGCUAGAGUUCAUAUUCCCAAAACUUUUAGUCCAAGUGCGUUAUAUGGAGACAUGCGUUCGGCAUGGAACCAGGCUAGAUCCCUGGUAUGGAGGAGGAUUAAUGAUAAUCUCUUCACACCGCAGUUCAGAUGUUUAGCGGAUUGG